GAUGAAUUUAAGGUAGAAGAAGAUCACACUUACGAGACUCAAGUCGGUGGUCUCUGCUAAUGUGUGUGUGAGAUCGUGAGAGAAGAUAGUGCAAUGAAUGCCUGGGUCAAAAUGAAGUGUAGCUACUGGCACUGUUGAAGUGCACCAAAGGGAGGAUCGGGUAAUGCAAAUGAGGACCCAACACAACUCAACUAUGAGCAAAUGGUCGAGUCGAAGCCAUCCAAUGGACUAAAAUAAAAUAUUCUCCAUCCACACUGCUCCGAGCAGAAUCUUCUCCUGAAUCGCUGAAAGGGCUUACACAGCGCCGUCCUUUCAGGCCCUAACAAAAAUGAGCGAUAAUAAUUCAUACAACGAUUCGACGAGAUGCAAAUGGGAGAGGGAGCAAUUAUGUCGGAGACAGAUAAAGAAAGAAUUGAUAGAAUUUGAAAUUAGGGGGAUUUUGGCAGAUUAUAAUAUGGUUAGAAGAGAAUAGCAGCGCCAGCGCCAGCGCCAGCGCCAUUUUUAGGGUGAUGUUUGUAGCGAGUGCCUAAGUUAGGAUUACUGCAUCUUUAGAUUUUCUCAUAAAACAAACACGGUCUACUUAAUA